UCACUUCUCAAUAUUAUUAUUUUCCUCUUACAUAGAAUCAAAUUCCCCUCCAUCAACCCCACUUUAUCAUACUUUUCUUAGCUUAUACAAUUUUUAUUUUUUUUAUAAAACCUUUGUUCUAUUCCACAAAAAUUCAUAUAAUUUUUUUUAAAAAAAUGAUUGGUAAAAAUAAUUCCAAUCACCUUCCUCCUGGAUUUAGGUUUCAUCCAACAGAUGAGGAAUUAAUCAUUUAUUAUCUUCGAAAUCAAGCUACAUCGAGGCCUUGUCCAUCUUCAAUCAUCCCCGAAGUUGAUAUCUAUAAGUUCGAUCCAUGGGAAUUGCCUGAAAAAGCUGAAUUUGGAGAAAAAGAAUGGUAUUUCUUCACUCCUCGUGAUAGAAAAUAUCCAAAUGGUGUUAGGCCAAAUAGGGCAGCUGUGUCUGGUUAUUGGAAAGCCACAGGCACAGAUAAAGCUAUAUAUAGUGGAACAAAAUAUGUUGGUAUUAAAAAAGCUCUCGUGUUUUAUAAAGGAAAACCACCUAAAGGUAUCAAGACUGAUUGGAUCAUGCAUGAAUAUAGAUUGAGUGAAUCAAGGACUCAACCAAUUACUAGGCCAAAUGGAUCCAUGAGGUUGGAUGAUUGGGUGCUUUGUAGAAUUUAUAAGAAGAAGAAUUUGGGAAGAGCUAUAGAGAUGAUGAAAGUUGAAGAAGACACACAACAACCUCAAAUAAUGAGUGUUAUUAAUCCUAGUGAAGUUGUGGCUUCUAAUGGACAACAAACAAUGAAACUACCAAGGACUUGUUCACUAUCUCAUUUAUUAGAAAUGGAUUAUUUUGGGUCAAUUUCACAACUAUUUGAUGACAAUAAUUCAUACAAUACUAUAAGCCAAAAUAAUACAUUAAUGACCAAUGGAUAUGUUGUGCCUCAUCAAGCCAUGGAGAUAUUUCAACUAGGGGAAGUGUCACAAAAUAACUCUAAUAGCUUCUUGAAACAGCCAAUUUUUAUGAAUCCAUCCUUUCAAUUUCAGUGAGAAGGCGGUGCACAGCGAUUAAAUAUUUCGACAACAAUAAUUACUAUGCCUCAAUCCAAAACAAGUUGAUCAGUCGCGGACUACUAGUAAUCUCGACAACAAUAAUUACUAUGCCUCAA